rnacentral:lncRNA from 10 species
GUGUUUUUCCAAAGCCUUCCAACAGCAACAUGAAGUUGGCAGCCUUCCUCCUCCUGUGAUCCUCAUCAUCUUCAGCCUAGAGGUACAAGAGCUUCAGGCUGCAGGAGACCGGCUUUUGGAUACUGCUAAUCAGUCCUAGCACUCUUUCUCUUUGAACCUGGACAAGGUGUCUGACCCUUCUCAACACAGCAUCAGACAGCCACCUCUAUUGACUGAAGUUGACAAUGGAGAAUAAAACUCAUUACCCCUGCUGAAUCCAGGGGCCCCUUUUUACAGAUGAGAAAAGUUCCAGAAAGACCCAGAGACAUAAUCAGGUACCUGCGUCGAGCUCUGCACAGGUGACUGGGACUGCAACCCCGGAGACCACUGUGUCAGCAAUGGGUGUGGCCAUGAGUGUGUUGCAGGGUAAGGACAGGUAAAAACACCAGGCCCUCCCUGCUUUCUGAAACGUUGUUCAGUCUAGAUGAAGAGUUAUCUUAAGGAUCAUCUUUCCCUAAGAUCGUCAUCCCUUCCUGGAGUUCCUAUCUUCCAAGAUGUGACUGUCUGGAGUUCCUUGACUAGGAAGAUGGAUGAAAACAGCAAGCCUGUGGAUGGAGACUACAGGGGAUAUGGGAGGCAGGGAAGAGGGGUUGUUUCUUUUAAUAAAUCAUCAUUGUUAAAAGCA